rnacentral:lncRNA from 1 species
AGGGUGAGGGAGGGGGUGGGAUGGGUGGGGGGUAACGGGGGAAACUGGGGAAGUGGGGAACCGAGGGGCAACCAGGGGAAGAUGGGGUGCUGGAGGAGAGCUUGUGGGAGCCAAGGAGCACCUUGGACAUCUGGAGUCUGGGGGAGGGAGCUGGUGGGCAGGGUUUGAUCCCAGGGCCUGGGCAACGGAGGUGUAGCUGGCAGCAGCGGGGCUGGCGGGGAGAAGCAGACACCCUCCCAGCAGAGGGGCAGGAUGGGGGCAGGAGAGUUAGCAAAGGUGACAUCUUCUCGGGGGGAGCCGAGACUGCGCAAGGCUGGGGGGGGGGCCCCGGGACUAGGCGAGGCGGCGCAGCGGGCGGCGAGCGGGAGGCACUGGCCUCCAGAGCCCGUGGCCAAGGCGGGCCUCGCGGGCGGCGACGGAGCCGGGAUCGGUGUCUCCAGCUGGGGUGGACGUGCCCACCAGCUGCCGAAGGCCAAGACGCCAGGUCCGACGGCCUUGAGUCUCAGUACGAGUGUGCGUGAGUGUGAGCCACCUUGGCAAGUGCCUGUGCAGGGCCCGGCCGCCCUCCAUCUGGGCCGGGUGACUGGGCGCCGGCUGUGUGCCCGAGGCCUCACCCUGCCCUCGCCUAGUCUGGAAGCUCCGACCGACAUCACGGAGCAGCCUUCAAGCAUUCCAUUACGCCCCAUCUCGCUCUGUGCCCCUCCCCACCAGGGCUUCAGCAGGAGCCCUGGACUCAUCAUCAAUAAACACUGUUACAGCAAUUU